GAUGAACGCUGGCGGCGUGCUUAACACAUGCAAGUCGAACGAUGAAGCCCAGCUUGCUGGGUGGAUUAGUGGCGAACGGGUGAGUAACACGUGAGUAACCUGCCCUUAACUCUGGGAUAAGCCUGGGAAACUGGGUCUAAUACCGGAUAGGAGCGUCCACCGCAUGGUGGGGGUUGUAAAGAUUUAUCGGUUUUGGAUGGACUCGCGGCCUAUCAGCUUGUUGGUGAGGUAAUGGCUCACCAAGGCGACGACGGGUAGCCGGCCUGAGAGGGUGACCGGCCACACUGGGACUGAGACACGGCCCAGACUCCUACGGGAGGCAGCAGUGGGGAAUAUUGCACAAUGGGCGGAAGCCUGAUGCAGCGACGCCGCGUGAGGGAUGACGGCCUUCGGGUUGUAAACCUCUUUCAGUAGGGAAGAAGCGAAAGUGACGGUACCUGCAGAAGAAGCACCGGCUAACUACGUG
rnacentral:rRNA from 1 species